rnacentral:tRNA from 1 species
GCGAAGGUGGCGGAAUUGGUAGACGCGCUAGGUUCAGGUCUUAGUGCCGCAAGGUGUGUGGGUUCGAGUCCCAUCCUUCGCACCA